rnacentral:rRNA from 1 species
GGCGGAUGCCUAGGCUUCUAGAGGCGAUGAAGGACGCGACAAGCUGCGAUAAGCUUCGGGGAGGUGCACAUAACCUUUAAUCCGAAGAUUUCCGAAUGGGGCAACCCAAUACCAUGAAGUGGUAUUACCCGCAAGGGGGCAAACCCGGAGAACUGAAACAUCUAAGUACCCGGAGGAAAGGAAAUCAAUUGAUACUCCCCUAGU